UAGUCCACGCAGUAAACGAUGAGUGCUAGAUGCUAGAACUAUGUUUUAGCGUCGAAGCUAACGCAUUAAGCACUCCGCCUGGGAACUACGAUCGCAAGGUUAAAACUCAAAGGAAUUGACGGGGACCCGCACAAGCGGUGGAACAUGUGGUUUAAUUCGAUGCUACGCGAAAAACCUUACCAAGUCUUGACAUGUUAGUCGUAUAGCUAAGAAACUAGCUAGUCAGUUCGGCUGGACUAUCACAGGUGUUGCAUGGCUGUCGUCAGCUCGUGUCGUGAGAUGUUGGGUUAAGUCCCGCAACGAGCGCAACCCUUAUCUUUAAUUGCCAACAGGUAAUGCUGGGAACUUUAAAGGACUGCCAAUGGAGAAUUGGGAGGAAGGUGAGGAUGACGUCAAGUCAGCAUGGGCCCUUAUGACUUGGGGCUACACACGUGUUACAAUGGUAGUUACAAUAUGAUGCAAUAGGGGCGACCUAGAG
rnacentral:rRNA from 1 species